ACUCCUGUGGAUGGGAGGCAUGGAUCAGCUCUGACUUCAGCCUCGGAAUAAGGGAGCUCAGCAAACCCCUGCCCAGAGCCCAGAGCUGGGUGUUUUACUGACAAACCCCAAAAUGACUGAGGGUUUAGGGCUGGGAAUUUUCAUUUUGUUCAGAUUCUCAUUCUUUGCUCUUUUUCGCCACAGACUGUGUGCCUCAGGACCAUCCCUGGUGACACUGGGACAGGGGAACAGGACACUGCCAGCAGAACAGGGCAGUGGCACAGGGGAACAGGAAGCUGGGACGGGAUGUGGCACCUGGGGACAGGGUCAGUGGUGGCCUCAGCACUGCUGGGGAUUGGCUGGACUCGGUGGUCUCAGGCUUUUCCAAGCUAAACAAUUCCAUGAGUCUGUGCCUCGAGCCUCUGUCCCGCUCCCCACACUCACCUGGAUGGCCGGGACCAGGGUGAAAUAGCCGAUGAGGAUGAUGCCCAGCUCCGUGGCCAUGUUCUUCAUGAUGGACCAGCUCUCGUUGCUCAGCCCUGGAGAGACUGGAAUCAGACCUCUCCCCCUCUCCCAGUCUUUGGGAUUCCCCGGUUUUCCCUCCCUGGAGUCUCCCAGAGCAGGGGCCCCACCUUGGGCGAUGCGGAGCUUCACCUCCAGGUCCACGGGCGUGGAGACGACGGACUUGGUGAGGACCAGCACGUUCUCCAGGCCAAUCACCACCACCAGGUACGGGAAGAUCUCCCUGCAGGAACAGAAGCGGAGCUGAGGAGGAGAUCCACAGGGAAAAAGAGGAAAGAGGCGGGAGCAGCAGCAGACACACCCUGAGUCGAGGUGAGGACCUGGAACACUGCAGUGACCUGGGGGUAAUCAGUCAUCAGGGAGGGGGUUGGGAGCGUGCCCCACCUCCACAGGGAUCAUCUGCCAAACCCCAGCUCAGCUCCACCACAAACACAGCUCUCCAACUGGGAUUCCCAGGUGAGGAGCAGGGGCAGGGCCUGGUUUGGACACCCCCUGGGCCGAAGUUCCAGCCCGGGGUGCUCUGAGUGAUCCCACUCUGGGCAGUGAAGAGACACGUGAAGGGACUUCUCAGCUGGGCGGUGGUGGAGCUCUGCUCCAGCCACAGCACCAGCACAACCCCAGCUGUGCACGUGCUUUGUGCACAGAUAACCCAAACCUGUUCUCCCAACACUCCUCCUGCUUUAGGCACACAGAGCCAACUGCUCAGCAGUGAGGAAUCUCCAGGACUGGGCUCUGGCCACAUCCCCUUCAUCCCUGAAGAGCCCAGCAGUGCUGAGCAGCUGCUCUCACGGGAUCCCCUGUGCAUCCCCCAGGAACAGGGCUGGACCUACCCUCCAUUGAGCGUGGGGGUGAGGCCGAACAGGGUGCAGAGCCCCACGGACAUGAGCAGGGAGCUGAGCACUGUCACCACCGCAGCCAGGGCCAGGCCCCACUUGGACUUCACCAUGUCGAUCUUCCCUGGAAAACACAGCAGGGUUACCAGGGAACAGCCCGGGGCACCCACACAGAGAAGGCACCCUCGUCCUGACCGACUUCAGGAGGUAACCCAGCACCCCACAGCCCAAGGGGAGACAGUUCAGUGUCAGUGCCUGAGGUGCAGCUCCCAGAGCCUCCCAGUGCAGGGGUGGGACACAGGACAGUGCUGGUUCACAGCUCAGACUGAUCCCAGCACAGCACUGAGGGGUGAAAAAGGGAACUGAAAUGUGGCCAGGGAGGUCUGACCUGUCUGAUAAUGGAUGGAAUAAUCUGGAGGCAAAAAGCAUUCCUAUGGCAUUUAAAGCUGCCUAAGACAGAAAACACCUCAGAAGUUAUCCCAGAAGCAUGGAAUAGCUUGGGUGGGAAGGGAUCGCAGGAUUAUCUUGUUCCAACCCCUUGCAAUGGGCAGGGACACCUUCCACUAGACCACAACACUUCCAGGACAGGGAGGUGCAUCACAGGGAAUAAUCCCCCACUGGCUAAGGGGACAAAUCAGCAGCAACCAGAUCAAAAGGACUAUUAACCGUGUCCAGGACAGGUCAGGGUAACAUUCCAGCAGCACCCCUGCUGCUGAGACGGGCAGGAGUCACAGUGCUCUAGACUGGAGCCUCUCAGGGGGCCCUGCAGCCCCGACCCCACGUGCAGCCAGGAGGUGUCCACGUGGCCCCCAGCCUGAAAGGCCCCCAACCUACGUGUGGAGAAGUAGAUGUAGGCGAAGAGGAUGAUGUAGGUGGUGACGAGCGGGAUGAGCUCGGCGAUGCCGAUCUCCUCCUUGAAGUGCACGUGCACCACGCUGUCCUCCCGCAGGGAGCAGUUGGGGCUGGGGUGCAGCAGCUUCAGGCGGGAGCGGAGGCUGCUCAGGAACCUGUGGGGAGAGCAGCAGGAGCAGGUCCCUCACGUGGCUCCCAAAAUCCACACACAAUUCCUACAGCCCAGCAGGAGGCAGCUCCACAGGUUCACUCGGACCAGCAGGGCAUGGUUCUCUCCAGUCUCACUCCCAAGGCUGUUCCUCGGUGGCCCAAACCUCACAGACCUUGUUUCCUACCAAGAUCUGCUGUUCAGACUCUCCAAAUCUAUUUACAGCAAAGGCUCAUCAACCAAAAUCUGGGCCCUGGGGAACAGGACACACCGUGUUCCCAAACACCCCCAGAAUUUCCACAGAAUCACAGAAUUUGGUGCAAAACUGGCUGGGAAAGGUGCCACAUGACAGCCCUGGGAGCUGUGGGGUCCUGCACAGCAGGUUUGGACUCCUGUGCUGCCAAUUCCAUCCCAGGCAUCCCCUGGGGAAUUCUGUGCAGCACUGAGUCCUCAGAUCCACUCGAUCCAUGCCGGCUUUGCCAAAGCACUUCCACCAGUGGAACCAGUGUUUAACUGGGAAGCAAACCAGUCUGUGAAGAGGGAACCGGGUCAAACCAGCCCCACUGGGCCCUGGAUGCCACAGGAAUUCCCAGUGGCCUCUCGGGACGUUACAGGUAACAUUUUUAAUGAGGAGCUGAGAACUGAUGGUAUUUUGUUUCCUUAAAACACAGCGAGUUUGCUCUCCAAAACAGCUCCUUGGGAGGAUCCAAAGUGCUCCAAACCGCAGGAAAACGGAGAUUACAGGGAAACACGGCAGGGGCUGGUGAAGGACAGAGCACAUUCCCCGGAGCAGCAGCUGGUGGCUCACCUGGAGUCGUAGCGCCGCAGCCCCAGGGUGAUGGUGUAGGACACCACGCGCCUCCGGUUGGACAGGCUGACCCCGCUGUACCUCCCCGGCAGCCCGAACAGCAGGUCUGCAAGGACAGGGCACAGGACAUCAGGGACAGCGGGACACACGGAGCAGAGGGCACAGGACAUCAGGGACAGCGGGACACACGGAGCAGAGGGCACAGGACAUCAGGGACAGCGGGACACACGGAGCAGAGGGCACAGGACAUCAGGGACAGCGGGACACACGGAGCAGAGGGCACAGGACGUCAGGGACAGCGGGACACGCGGAGCAGAGGGCACAGGACAUCAGGGACAGCGGGACACACGGAGCAGAGGGCACAGGACAUCAGGGACAGCGGGACACGCGGAGGGCACAGGACAUCAGGGACAGCGGGACACACGGAGCAGAGGGCACACAGGGGUUCCUGCUGGAGAGCAGCAGCAGCUGCUCUUACGGAAGCACCUCCUGGAGCUGCGGUGAGACCGAUGGAUGGGGGGAACAGCAGGGAGUGGGGAUGGGGCGUCACAGAGACUGUGUGGGCACUCUGAGGCUGCAGUCCUGGCUGCAGUCCUGGCUGCAGUCCUGGGGCAGUUCUGGGGUCCCUGGGUACAGGACAUGUGAGGGGCUGGGCAGGGGUGCAGUCACAUCCCUGGAGGGAUUGCAAAGCCCUGUGGAUGUGGCACUUGGGGACAUGGCCAGUGGUGGCCUUGGCAGUGCUGGGGAAUGGUUGGACCUGAUGGUCUCAGAGGGCUUUUCCAGCCCAAAUAAUUCUCUGAUUCCAUGAUUCUCCCUCUAUUUCAUUUGCAAAUGAGCUCCCCCACAGGCUCCAUGUGCUCCAUCCUCAGUGUGCUCACGCUCUGGAUGCUCAAAAAUAACCUUUAAAGCAAACUUACUUCAGGGUUACAACCCCCUUCUCAGACAUGUCCCAUUAUACCUUUUACACUUCCUGACAGGUACAAAGUUCCUUUAAAACCAAAGAAUUGAAACAGCAUUUAAUACACCAUCUCCUCUGGCAUUACGGAACCAUUAAUGAUCAGAGGUGGGGUUUUUUUAAAUUAAGAGAGAAAAAUACAUUUCUGAUCUCCACUGUCAGCUCAAGCUGUGUGCAGGGAACCAUCAGGGAAGGCCCAGGGGAGCAGGAUGAAUGUUCAUUUAUCCUGACAACGGGGAGUGUGACAGGGAAAAGCCAGGCUGGAGCUAGGGUGGAGUGAGAGGAACAAAGCAGCUGCUAUUUUUACCUGCAGAAAGAAGCCUGACUGAGUGAAUUAUUCAUCUUCCACAAUCUGAGCUCAAACACAGAUAUAAAAUAAGAGCUGUCACAGAUUGGGCAGCUUCCUUUCAGCUGCUGUGAGUGACAAAAUGCCACCCAAAUUGGUACUUGGAGCGAUCCAGAUGCUGGAAUUAGCGAGGAUGGAAUAACAAUGGAAUCUGUAGGCAACUGUCACAGCUUCUCUGGCACUGCAGCACCUCACCUUUGAGGGUGGCUGACGUCUGCAAGGUCUUUGGCUCAUGCUGGUGGAUGGUUUUGAAGAUGUCUGGGUCGGCAUUGAAGCGCUCCCGGUCGUUCUGCCAGAAGUUCCCCGGGGACAGCAGCAGGCAGCCGUGCUCUGGGAGCAGGUUCCGCAGCUUCUUGAGGCCAGGCAGGAGAUCUGUGACCUGCAGGCAAAGCUCCUCCAAGCUCCUGACUCCAGAACUGAAAGGCAAACACGGCGAGUGGGACCCAAACUGCCCUGCGUGUGUUUAACUCUCCCCAAGGAAAGGCAAAGCUGCCAAGAUGGACAUGUCAGGGACCUUCCUCACUGUGUCGCUGCUCCUCUUCCUCACAGCUGAGGGCCAGGAGCCUGGAUCUCCCUGGAACUGUGCACAGGCUCCAGAAUUCCAUCCUCACUCCUCUGGGUGCUGCCUGCCCACACAGCUCUCACUGCCCGCCCCUCCUCAGCGACACAAUUCCCACUCGCACAUUCUCCGCUCAGCAGAGUCUGUCUCCCUGGAAUUCCUCUUCCAAGUCCUCAAACCCCUCUGCACACACAGAAGGGGAUGUGCUACAGGAAUCCCAACCAGCCCUCCCAAAGUGGAUCCCCCGAGGUGCCCAGAGUCCCCAAACCGUGCCAAGGAUUCAGAGUCUCACCUGGCUGUGCUGGCUUCCCAACUGCCCUGCUUUGUGUGGAGAGCAGAACUUCUGAACCUCAGGGCUUCAGAAAUCCACAGAGCUGUAACUGGUAUGAACUGGAACCUGUGUUUGCUCCCAAACUUCCCUUACCCCAGUGACAGAAUCCUUAUCAAGCCCUGAUUCAAGCAAAACUCAGCUUGGGAUGACACAAGGACCUGGUGUGAAGGGUCAGGGACAGAACCAGCUGUUGGACAGAAAAGGAGGAGCUGCUGGUCCAUAAGAGACAAUUCCCUCCUUGGGAUACAGGAACUGGUGGGAUCUGCUCAGGAAAGGUGUAUUUAGAGAGGCCAAGUGAAGAACAGAGACCAGUCCUUGCUGGCUGCAGUCUCACAGGUCACAGGAAGGUGGUUCCAGAGGAGAGUUUUUCUACAUUAACUACAAAGAGCAAACCCAGAAAUUAUUAAAUGAUGAUUUGUCUUUGUGAGCACUCCCUCUAGAACCUAUAUCCAGUGGCUGUAUGGCACUGGAAAAGUCACAGCUGCCAAAAGACAAGACUGGAAAAUGCACCCGAAAAGAGGGUGUUUGUAGGGACAAAAGCUUUGGGAAGGACAAUUUAAAGGGAUUGAUGCAGUGAUGCCUUUGGCAGCAGCUCCAAGGAAGAGCCAGCUGACCAUAUGUGAAGUGAUAGAUAAGGCCACAUAAAAGAAGAAAACACCCCUCCUGAUGGUUUCCUGGAAAACCCCAGCACCUGGAGACACAUUCCCAGAAAUUGAUAAAAGGAUUAAAAGGAAGAAAUGGAGAUAACUGGACCCUUGGGCCUAUUUCAUCUGUCUGUCACCCCAAAAUUAGUUUACUGACCACAGCCACUCAAACUGCCUAAGGAAAAAGGUAUAAAAAGAGAUUGGACCCAAGCAGAAAUCCUGGAGAAGUUCCAUCCACGCUGCGGAGGGACCCGCCUGGAUGCCCUGGGCUGAGAUAUUCUCCAGACACAGACACCAAGUUUACUUUGGCUCCACAGCACUUCAGAACUUUUACUCAUUACUUCAUUGUCAGUUGUUUUUGCUUCAUGGUGUGUACUUGAGUUUUCUGCUUUGCUGAUGCUGUGUAAGUUGUUCUGCCUCUCUGGAAGUUGCUUUUGCUUUAGGUGUGAGCCUGCGCUUUGCAUUGUAAUUAUUAUCAUCGCUACAUAGAUUAACUCUGCUUUUUUUGCAGUCAGACCCUAUUCCAGACACGGUGAACCCCACUCAGUGUCACAAAUUUGUAUUAAUAAAGGUGUUGUUUCGUGAA